GUGACAAGCGGUUGUGAUUUAGCAUGUAAUAUUUAUUUUGUAAUUGUAUUAUUCGCACUACAACAAAAACGGUUUAUAGCGACACUUUUAAAUAUAGGUAUAUGUCAAAAAAAUACUGCUAGCUAAAAUUACCGACAUUUUUAAAAAGUGUUGCUAUAUGUGGGGUCGCUAGAUAUAUAGUGACAGUUAAAGAGUGUCGCUAUAACCUAAAAGAGUGCUACUAAUUUACCAACACUUAUUUAAAUAUUUAGCAACCGCCGAAACUCUAUCUCGUUGGCUGCGGUGGCGGAGGAGAAUGACAGGAAAGGCUCUUCGUCUAGAAUUUCAGUGGAUUGAGUGAAGAGAGAAGAAAAGAUGGUAAUUAAUUUUUCUUUUUUUUUUCUUUUCUGUUUGUAAUCGGGCCAAAUAGACUGGGUGUGGUGGGUUGAGUAGAGUAAUCUUUUAUUUUUGGUUGGAUUGAGCUUUAUAUUUAGACAUUAGUAGAUAUUUUUUUUAAGUUUUAGUAUAAAUGGGACACUUACUCAAAAGUGUCCCAAACAUGUGUCCCUAUAAUCUAAUUCUGUUGUAGUGUCAUCUAAUAAUUAUAGAUUGUGAUCUACUGCACAUAAAAAUAAGUCGUGAAUUAUUAUUUGAUAUUUAAUUAGUCGGCUAUAAUAAUAUUAGUAAGUCCAAUUACAAAUUAUGACGGACGAUUCAUUAUUUACAUUAUAAACACAAUUGGGACCGCCACGCUUGCUUUAUUAAUAAUAAUUUAUAUUAAUACUUUAUUCAAAAUUUAUAUUUAAGAUAAAUCUAUACAACUAUAUUAAUCCGCAAUGUUUAAGAUGACAUGGCGCUUCCACCUUAGUUUAGGGCUUUUCUAUUUUUUUUUUCUUCUUUCAGUUAUACUCUUUUUGCCCCCUCAUCUACCCCAUAUAAUUUAACUCCCUACAAUUAUUAAAUUAUUAAUUAAUUUUUUAGCUUCUUUCAAUUAUACACUUUGAAUUCCUAUCACUAACAUAUCUGCCGUGACGCUUCGUCUUCCUACUCAAUAAAUGAAUAGAUUUGAAAUGGAAAAAGAAGUGAGAAAACGGGAGUAGUAGUGAUAGGGGAAGCUCAUGAGGGGGAUUAAAUGGGGUUGUGGGUUUUGAU
rnacentral:lncRNA from 1 species